ACAGAGAUUGAGUACAGAAAAACAUAAACACUCUCUUCUCAACGUUAGUGAGUAGUGCAAGGGGAGAACAAAAUGGUUUGCUUGUGUCACCUGUUCGUUGGAGGGGUUACAGGGUAUGCGGCUUAGAGAUCGCGCAUUCUUUUUUCUCUCCUUCUCCCUUCCAUAUGAAGAUCUAUAAAACUAGCACACGGAGGAAGGAAGAAGCUGAUAUUACGGGUACACAUUCCCAUACAAAGUGACCAGUUCAACCUCACCAUGGAGUCUCAUGCCACUGGAAAACCCAUAAAAAAAAUGUACAAAAUUAUUCCAUUUGCGAGAGUGAAAACAGAAGAGGCCAAAGGAGAAAAUACUUGUAGCUUUCCGUCAGUGGAAAAUUCUUAAGAAAGGGGGCAAAAGAGGACCCAAAAAUUGAAACGAAAA